GCCAGGAUAACAACAUUUUAUUACUCCUGCCCCAAUAACAAAGAGACUGGGGAUCCCACAGCAGCCAAAGUGACCAUUUGGGCAAGCAAUCCAUCAUGCUUGGCAGGGUGGGUGUGCCCAUGCAAACGAGAUCAGCCACUGAAGUGCUUUUCCACAGCUCACCACCAGAUGUCAGGGUAGAGCUCAUUCUGAUUCUGUUUACAUCUGUAAAAAAAAAAAUGCGACACCAAUGACAUAUGUGUUCCUUACUUAAAUCAUAAGACUUCCUGGUAAAGUCAGUAACAGAUUUGCUUUGGUCAGUGAAGAACUUUCUUCAUCACCCUGCUUUGCAGCUCUCAACAUUCACAAUUUUCUUCCUGGAAGACAGAAAGAAAAAGAGAACAACAGAACUAAAGAUGGAGGGGGAAUACACAAGCAAUGAACUACCAAAAGUCUGGAAGACAGAAUUUACAAAACUGCGUCCAAUCAUACCUCUUUUCCUUAUAUCUGGAUUGUCCCUACUUAUACUGGUGAAAAAACACUCAGUUCCUUGGGAAAAAUGCGCCUUUGUCACUAUAAUAUUGAGCAUAAUAACAGCAGUGGCUGGAACAAUUUAUUAUUCUCUGGAGUUUGCUUUGAUUAGAUCGCCUCAGAGCCCCUUUCCUCAUGACACCAGUGAUACUGAAAGAUUGGCACUAGCCUACAGAGUGGACUCAGCAGAACUUGGAUUAGCAGCCUUUGAGCUAGGAGUCUCUGUCUGGAUUUUGUGCCUGCUGCAGCGAGCAAGGAAGACAUUAAGGCAGUAGCUCUCAUUGUCAAAAAUAUCAUCUUUUUCAACAGGCUGCUGCCAUUGAUUUUGUUUUAUGGGGAUUGUUCAAUUUGUUUUAUGGGGAUUGUGCGCCGGUGUCAGUAUUAUUUAGCACGUAAGGGCCAUAGUCAAAACUCAUAUUUAAAUACAUGUAUGUUGGUACAUGCCACAUAUAUUUAGCUUGAUCUUACUUCCACUGAAGUCAAUGACAGAACUCCCAUUGACUUUAAUGGGAGCAGGAAUGGGACCCUUUACCAUGGUCUCUCCUCUGUCCUCACUUAUACCCAUGCAUGUCUCUUGAUAUUGUAAAGCACAGAGUGCAGAAUCUGACCCUACAUAUUUUAGGCCAGAUCCUCAAUUGAAGUCAAUGGAGCUAUGACAAUUUAUACCAACUGAGGAACUGGCCCUUAUAUAUAUAAAGACACUUAAAAUUAGCAAAAUGUUGGUACAUUUUCCUAAGGGUGAAAUUCAUCAAAAUGAAUAGGACCUGCACAAAGCCCAAUCCACCACUUGAGUCCCAUUCAGUCCCAGCACUAAACAAGGCAGCAAAACUAAUGCAAAUAGCAGAUCUCCAUCUGGUGAGCAUCAGCGUAGCUAGUACGUCUCUUUUAGCUAUUAUCCUUAUAUCAGCUGCUUAUCCACGACACCUGAUUCUGUGUACAAAUAAAUAUAAUGAAAAGUUGAUAUUGUCUCUAGUC
rnacentral:lncRNA from 1 species